rnacentral:sRNA from 1 species
GCUGCCAGGGUCAAAGGGUCUAAGCCCACAUGAGCCUGCUCAUAAGUGGGUGAAAGACCUUGGGACCCGCCCCGAUAUGAGCAUAAAAGUGGGAUGACUAUCCCACGAUAUGCGAAUAUUGGACAGGAUUGUGAGAGUGCGCAGCACAGAACAAUCCGCAGGCA